rnacentral:rRNA from 1 species
GACGAACGCUGGCGGCGUGCUUAACGCAUGCAAGUCGAACGGAAAGGCCUGCUUUCCCUUGUGGAUUGCGGGUACUCGAGUGGCGAACGGGUGAGUAACACGUGAGUGAUCUGCCCCCAACUUGGGUAUAAGCCUGGGAAACUGGGUCUAAUUCCCGAUAGGACUGCAGGGUGGUGCCUGUGGUGGAAAACGAUUUUCUAGUGGUUGGGGAUGAGCUCGCGGCCUAUCAGCUUGUUGGUGGGGUAAUGGCCUACCAAGGCGGCGACGGGUAGCCGGCCUGGGAGGGUGGACGGCCACAUUGGGACUGAGAUACGGCCCAGACUCCUACGGGAGGCAGCAGUGGGGAAUAUUGCACAAUGGGCGGAAGCCUGAUGCAGCGACGCCGCGUGGGGGAUGACGGCCUUCGGGUGGUAAACUCCUUUCGACCGCGAGGAAGCCACCUGGUUGGAAGGGUGGUGACGGUAGUGGUAGAAGAAGCACCGGCUAACUACGUG